CCUAGUUACCAGCACGUUAUGGUGGGCACUCUAAGGAGACUGCCGGUGACAAACCGGAGGAAGUGGGAUGACGUCAAGUCAUCAUGGCCCUUACGGCCUGGGCUACACACGUGCUACAAUGGUCGGUACAAAGGGUUGCCAAGCCGCGAGGUGGAGCUAAUCCCGUAAAACCGAUCGUAGUCCGGAUCGCAGUCUGCAACUCGACUGCGUGAAGUCGGAAUCGCUAGUAAUCGUGAAUCAGAAUGUCACGGUGAAUACGUUCCCGGGCCUU
rnacentral:rRNA from 1 species